UACGUAGGGGGCAAGCGUUGUCCGGAUCUAUUGGGCGUAAAGAGCGUGUAGGCGGCCAGACAGGUCUGCUGUGAAAACUCGAGGCUCAACCUCGAGACGCCGGUGGAAACCGUUUGGCUAGAGUCCGGAAGAGGAGAGUGGAAUUCCUGGUGUAGCGGUGAAAUGCGCAGAUAUCAGGAAGAACACCCGUGGCUAAGGCGGCUCUCUAGUACGGUACUGACGCUGAGACGCGAAAGCGUGGGGAGCGAACAGG
rnacentral:rRNA from 1 species